AGGAAAACCAAAUCUUUACCACCAUCCUUACAGCCUCUCCCAGUUUAUUCUCCUUUUUGUCAUCCUCUGCAAGGAAGGUCGCAGCCUCUCAGAAAAACCCACAAGCCAUCAAAUAUUUAUCUCUAUUUCAUGUCGGUUACCUUUAACCAGUGAUAGCGUCUAGACCUCAAGCAUCUGAGGAUAAUAUGGAGUAGAAGAGCAAAUGCACUACCCUAAAUGCAUUAGAGGUCAAUACCCAACAAAUAGCAGCCAUAGUUUGAGGGAAACAUAAAAGUGUCCCCAUUAUUGAAUAAAUAAUUUAGUCAAAUAAACAACCAAAAUUUAAAAAUUAAAAAAAAAAACACUGCAGAGCGUUGAUUGCAAGUUCCCAUAGUGAUGUGGUUGUUGUCUAAAAUCCAGAGAUAUAAACUCUAAUUAAAUGUGCAACAAAAUAAAAUUGUUAAUUGCUGAUACAUAUAUUUAUUCUUAUUCCUGUUCUUAUUCUUAUUGUUGUUCCUAUUUUUUAAAUUUUGUUCCCAUUCUUGUUCUUAUUCCUUUUCUAGUUCUCUUAUUAUUAUUAUUGUUCCUAUUCUUAUUCUUAUGCUAGCUCGCAUUCUGAUUCUUGUUCUUAUUUGUAUUCCUAUUAUUAUUAUUAUUCUUGUUCUGAUUUUUUUCCUGUUAUUAUUUUGUUCCCAUUCUUAUUCUCAUUCCCAUUCUUAUUCGUAUGCUAAUUCCCAUUCUUAUUCUUUUUCUUAUUUCUAUUGCUAUUUUUGUUUUUGUCCCCAUUCUUGUUCUUAUUCUUAUUCCCAUUCUUAUUCUUUUUUCAGUAUUGUGGGAUUAUUGUACCAUGACUUUACAUGUUCAAUGUGCUUUUUAAAAACUGAAUUUAAAAAUCAAACAAAAAAUUACUGCAUAGCAAGUGUUACUCCCUCUUUUACUUUUUACUGUGAUUAUUCCCUCCAUGGAAACAAAAUUCCAUUCCUUUAUAAACAGCCUACAAAUGGAAACCAAAAACUACCAGUCAUCCACAAGUCUUGUCCAUGGCUCACCCACAGAGUUUUUAGGGUUUAAUAGGAGAUUUUUACACUCACUUGUAAGUCCAUUGAUAGUAGCAAGGUUUUCUUUAAUAUUAGGAACAUUAAAGUGAAGACAGAUUUUUACAUUGAGACUAAUUCUUUCUUUACUUUUUAACUCCAAGAAAAAAAACUUGUGGAAGCUGCUUUUUUACCUUAUUACGGGGGUCUACUUUACAUGCGCGUCAUCUCCUCAGUUUAGCCACCUACUUAUUUAGUUUGCCACACAUCUCAGCAUUUUGCUACAAGUGCAGAGUCUCUGAAUCACCAUUACAGUUACCAUCUCAAAUGGUUGCUUUUUGAUCUACUGAGGGUUUGGGGAAAAACAACAUAUUCACUUUGCAUAUGACCGCACUCACAUGUAUUGUUCAAUUGUUCAAGCAACAUAAGGAACGUGGAUGUUUUUCUUAGCAGGCCACUAGUCAUGUUUAUUGUGUGUAUUUGCAUAUCUUUCUUAAUAUGGUUUGAGUUUGAUCCUACGCUGAUGCUCCCUUUUGACAGAGAUGCAAAUAUUUUGCAUACUGUUUGCAGAUAUCGUCGUAGAGAGAUUUAAAACAUUGUUGGUUUCCUUUUAGGUUCACUGGUCUUUAUCAACUCCUAAAUAAAGUCUAUCUGUUUCUGUUGCUUCAUUCCUAAGUGCUCUGCAUUUUCCACUAGAGUUAGGGUCACAAACUUUAUCUGUCU
ensembl:lncRNA